rnacentral:rRNA from 1 species
AUUGAACGCUGGCGGCAUGCCUUACACAUGCAAGUCGAACGGCAGCACGGGAGCAAUCCUGGUGGCGAGUGGCGAACGGGUGAGUAAAGUAUCGGAACGUGCCCAGUCGUGGGGGAUAACGUAGCGGAAGUUACGCUAAUACCGCAUACGAUCUAUGGAUGAAAGCGGGGGAUCGCAAGACCUCGCGCGAUUGGAGCGGCCGAUAUCAGAUUAGGUAGUUGGUGGGGUAAAGGCCCACCAAGCCGACGAUCUGUAGCUGGUCUGAGAGGACGACCAGCCACACUGGGACUGAGACACGGCCCAGACUCCUACGGGAGGCAGCAGUGGGGAAUUUUGGACAAUGGGCGAAAGCCUGAUCCAGCCAUGCCGCGUGCAGGAUGAAGGCCUUCGGGUUGUAAACUGCUUUUGUACGGAACGAAAAGGACUGCCCUAAUACGGUCGUCCCAUGACGGUACCGUAAGAAUAAGCACCGGCUAACUACGUGCCAGCAGCCGCAGUAA